rnacentral:rRNA from 1 species
GACGAACGCUGGCGGCGUGCUUAACACAUGCAAGUCGAACGGAAAGGCCCUGCUUUUGUGGGGUGCUCGAGUGGCGAACGGGUGAGUAACACGUGAGUAACCUGCCCUUGACUUUGGGAUAACUUCAGGAAACUGGGGCUAAUACCGGAUAGGAGCUCCUGCUGCAUGGUGGGGGUUGGAAAGUUUCGGCGGUUGGGGAUGGACUCGCGGCUUAUCAGCUUGUUGGUGGGGUAGGGGCUUACCAAGGCUUUGACGGGUAGCCGGCCUGAGAGGGUGACCGGCCACAUUGGGACUGAGAUACGGCCCAGACUCCUACGGGAGGAAGCAGUGGGGAAUAUUGCACAAUGGGCGGAAGCCUGAUGCAGCAACGCCGCGUGCGGGAUGACGGCCUUCGGGUUGUAAACCGCUUUCGCCUGUGACGAAGCGUGAGUGACGGUAAUGGGUAAAGAAGCACCGGCUAACUACGUG